AGCAGUGCAAGGUUACAGCCAUGACUGAAGAGGUCCCAGUCUCCUGAUCUUGGAAACACCCACCAUUGCAGUUACAGUGCUUGCCUAUUCAGAUGCUGCUGCUGUAACCAUGAACAGCAUACCAAGACAGGAAGCCUGAUUCCUGCUGGAUCUACCACUAAAAUAUAUUUCAUAUUCUUGUUGAAAUUGGAAAUGGUGCUCUGUUGUGUCUGUGCUGAGAUUUUUAACAUUCAAUAAAAAGAUCAAUAAUUCAAAAACAACAUUAUGCCCAAGAGAAGCAGAAGAUCUUUCUCAAUUUCAAAUUUACUAUGAUUUACAUUUACC